rnacentral:rRNA from 1 species
UACGUAGGGUGCAAGCGUUGUCCGGAUUCAUUGGGCGUAAAGAGCUCGUAGGCGGCUUGUCACGUCGGGUGUGAAAGCCCGGGGCUUAACCCCGGGUCUGCAUUCGAUACGGGCUAGCUAGAGUGUGGUAGGGGAGAUCGGAAUUCCUGGUGUAGCGGUGAAAUGCGCAGAUAUCAGGAGGAACACCGGUGGCGAAGGCGGAUCUCUGGGCCAUUACUGACGCUGAGGAGCGAAAGCGUGGGGAGCGAACAGG